GCAGCAGCCGCGGGAAUACGGAGGGUGCAAGCGUUAAUCGGAAUUACUGGGCGUAAAGCGCACGCAGGCGGUUUGUUAAGUCAGAUGUGAAAUCCCCGAGCUUAACUUGGGAACUGCAUUUGAAACUGGCAAGCUAGAGUCUUGUAGAGGGGGGUAGAAUUCCAGGUGUAGCGGUGAAAUGCGUAGAGAUCUGGAGGAAUACCGGUGGCGAAGGCGGCCCCCUGGACAAAGACUGACGCUCAGGUGCGAAAGCGUGGGGAGCAAACAGGAUUAGAUACCCGAGUAGUCCCUGUCUCUUAUAC
rnacentral:rRNA from 1 species